CAUCCCCAUGGGAGCUUGGAUUGAGAUGGGGGACUCUCCAGCAACUAUCAAAUCUUGAAUUUCGUUAUUCUAGCUUUCUGGGGCUGUUCACAGUCCAAGACCUAGAAAGAAUGUCGUUGAAGCCAGGUGUCUGAAACAGAGGCAAGUCUGGGCAAUGCCAAUGUCCUGCAUCUUUCUCAUCUUGUCUUACCUACCUUGCAGAUCAGCUCUGGAGGUGGCAGCUUGAGAGGCAAAGCCUGAGAUGCUCAGCUAAGAGAGACAGCUCUAGCCUUGCAGCCCCAUCUUGCUCCAUACCAGCUAUUAGUUACGGGAUUUGACCUGAGUGGGGAUCAAUUUUCCAGCGAACUCGGUAACCCAGGGUUUGGGGCCGGUCAUAGGCAUUGGAGUCUGGGUGAACCGCCCUGGCGCUGAGCAUUCUCGGAUGUCCUGAAGCUGUUCGGUUCCAGAGGUAUUCUGGGAUAAGACAGGCUAUUCAGCGGGGCCGAGGUGUGUGGGGCCCAAACUAAGUCGCCAGGAUCCCGACGCACCGCCCC
ensembl:lncRNA